GAGGGUAUAGCUCAGGUGGUAGAGCACAUGCUUAGCAUGCACAAGGUCCUGGGUUCAAUCCCCAGUAUCUCCU
rfam:Camelus ferus unplaced genomic scaffold scaffold2400, whole genome shotgun sequence.